rnacentral:rRNA from 1 species
AUUGAACGCUGGCGGCAUGCCUUACACAUGCAAGUCGAACGGCAGCAUGAUCUAGCUUGCUAGAUUGAUGGCGAGUGGCGAACGGGUGAGUAAUACAUCGGAACGUGCCCUGUAGUGAGGGAUAACUAGUCGAAAGAUUAGCUAAUACCGCAUACGACCUGAGGGGGAAAGUGGGGGACCGCAAGGCCUCAUGCUAUAGGAGCGGCAGAUGUCUGAUUAGCUAGUUGGUGAGGUAAAGGCUCACCAAGGCGACGAUCAGUAGCUGGUCUGAGAGGACGAUCAGCCACACUGGGACUGAGACACGGCCCAGACUCCUACGGGAGGCAGCAGUGGGGAAUUUUGGACAAUGGGGGCAACCCUGAUCCAGCAAUGCCGCGUGUGUGAAGAAGGCCUUCGGGUUGUAAAGCACUUUUGUCCGGAAAGAAAUCGCACUUACUAAUAUUAGGUGUGGAUGACGGUACCGGAAGAAUAAGGACCGGCUAACUACGUGCCAGCAGCCGCCGUAAAAC